CAUGCCUGUUCGAGCGUCAUUUCAACCCUCAAGCCCCCGGGUUUGGUGUUGGGGAUCGGCUCUGCCUUCUGGCGGCGCCGCCCCCGAAAUACAUUGGCGGUCUCGCUGCAGCCUCCAUUGCGUAGUAGCUAACACCUCGCAACUGGAACGCGGCGCG
rnacentral:rRNA from 1 species